CAUACUUCUCUAGUGUAAAAAACGAAACAGUGUUAUUAAAAUGUGCGUGGAUACGUACGCAAAAAAUGGAAACUACAAUUAUCAAUACUGUUUGAAAAAAAAACACCAACAUUUUAUUGCGUUGAUAGGAAUAAAAUAUUAUUAUGGAAAGAUGUGCUAGUAAAUUAAAACAUAUCUUUUCCCCAAUAAUUGAGGAAAGUGACAAUAUAUUUACCAACUUAUUAAUUUACAUUUUUAUUAAUUUACAAAACCGUGGUGAAUAAAAACAGAAUGAUUAAUGGAGAAGGGAAAAGGCCCAAAGGAAACUUUGUACCCUCUGAUAAAAUUCCUCUGAGAGGCCCUGACACACAUAAUGAAUGCAACCAAUAAUCUCUAUAGUCCAACAUGUACAUACGUGAUUAAAACACUGUUCGAUUACGGAGCUCAAUUGCCAUAAAUAAUAAGAAUUAAGCGUGUGACACGAUUGAGAAAAUACUUCUUUAUUGGCACAAUUUUAUUGUCAACGAAAACCACAUAUAAAUCAUUAAUUUUUAAUAAAUAAAAACAUAGUAAAGAAACGAAUAAAGAAGACUAAAUGAAAAAGUUGUUUUCAACGAUGGAACUAAACAAUUUGCGUUGAUCUAUACUAAGAAGCUGA